AAUAUCUUGCAUUUUAUGAAUAAAAUAGACUAAGGCCAGGAGAAGUGAAGUAUUUAAGGUCACGCAACUAAUAAUUAGUAGGGUUAUAACUAGAAUCCAGGUUCUCUAAAUUUAGAUAUUAUACCUCUCCUACCCUUCCAUUUUUUCAGCAAAUUGGAUAACCUUCAAUGAAUUAUAAAAACAAAACAAAUAGAAACUGAAAAAAAAAAACCCCUCCCUGUGUUUCUAGACUUUUCUGAAGUGUCUCAGGGUUUUUAUCUGACUUCUAAGAAGUUAAGAUCAAGAUAGUUAUACCUCAGAACUCCAAGUAAAUGUGUAAAUGCUUUUGGGGGUAGUUUGUUCUUGAUUUUCCCAUAGAAAGGAGGAAGUCAGCUACCUUUGUGAUGGAAUCAUGUAUUGCCUCAAUGGACAACAACACAGACUUCAAUGGUGAGUGUUCUACCAGGAUGAAACAGGAAGGGCAACAGCCAUCCAUCCUGAGGGCGGACGUGCCUGCAUGCAAAAGGAAUGGUUCCCCCUGAACCCAAUCUUGUAGUUUCAUUAUUUUUAGAAAGAGUGAAUUGGAAAAAAAAAUAGACCCAAAUAAAAAUCUUCAACUCUGGAAUGUUCUCAGCAAAACACAAAUGGGGCAGUAUUAGCCUCCUUCAGGAAGCAGGUUAACGUAGGUACCUGAGAUUACAUUUUGCGGUAAACAUCCCUGGCAGGCCACUUUGUCAGGGGGUGGUGGUGCUCACAAUCUGAGGCACCUCUUCAUCAUUCUGGGCAUGGAUAGGGCUUCAGUAAUACUGGAUCUUAGCAUUUUCCAGGCUAAGAUAAUUUUUCCAUUCUCUACAGUGCAGAUACCUAGACACCUGUCAGAGCACUUGAACACCCCAAUGCUGCUUCUAGAAGGAUGUUGGCUUUGUCUGUAGCAUCCCUGGGCCUCAUUCAGAAAAAUAGAAAUGGUGACUCUUCAUUUGCUUGUUCAGACUUCUCACUUGUGAAGAUAAAAUGCAAAUCCUGCUCACCACAGACCUAGAAUCCAAGGUCAGUCACAACAAGGAAGAACAUAGAAUUACCAGUGUUCCUGACCCUGAGCUGUGGGGUGGGUGUAAGUUGUAGUAUUUGGGCUUCUGUGGUCAACAUUACAACUAAAAGUCACAAAAGCCAUGGAAAAUAGUCUCAGGGAUACACAUCUGCUCUUCAGAUUCUGAAUUCUGGUCUUGCAUGAUUUCUUUCGCCAGGAGCCAGCACAGCUGUGCUUCCUCGGACUAACAACUUGCCCUUCACUCCCUACCCUCCAGGCACCGUCUCCUCUAUAAAGUCACCCUCUCAGCUUUUAGUUAUCCCCAGGGAUGACACAAAUACAGAGAACUGUGGCAUUUUUAAAGCAUUUAGGUGAAAGAUGUUAUAAAUUAUACAGUUCACCUGAGAGAGAAAAUACAUGCUAAACCAGGCAGUGGCUCACACCUGUAAUCCCAGCACUUGGGGAGGCCAAAGUGGGAGGAUUGCUUCAGCCCAGGAGUUCAAGAUCAGACUGGGCAACACAGUGAGACCUCUUUUCUACCAAAAAAAAUAUAUAUAUAUCAAAAAAUGAAGUAGGAGGAUCGCUUGAGCUCUGGAGGGUGAGGCUGCAAUGAGGCAUGAUUACGCCAUUGCACUCUUGCCUGGGUGACAGAGUGAGACCCUUCCUCAAAAAAAACAAAAACAAACAAAAUGAAAGACAGAAGAAAAUCCAUGUGAAUAAUCUUAUUCUAGCAAAUAAGGAUGUUAGAAUGCAGCAUAUUAAAAUAUUACAAAAGUACAAUACUAUGAAAAAAUAUGGCACUCAACACAGAGCAGAAUGGAAACUAGAAUCGAACAGAGGAAAGCAUUUUGAACUCCUGAGUGCAGGAUAGGUUUUUUUCAGUAGAUGGUGUUGGGACAACUAUUUGAAACAAAAAAGAAAUGUAGAUCCACUAAAUGAAUUGUUCCUGGAAUACAGACUUAAAUAGAUAAGUUACAGAUUACUCGGAAAUUCAGGGGAAUUGGUUUAUAAGGUGGAGGGUGUGAAAAAAAUUUCUGAAAAGGACACUGAAGGAGAUAAAAAGCUACUUUCAGUAUAAAAAAUACAACCAAAAUUUUAAGAUAAAACUGCCAGGAAAAUAUGUCAAAGGAUUCAUAUUCUCAUUGUAAAAACAGCCUAUGAUUUAAAAAUGAUUAUACUAAUAAAAACAAGUCAAAGGAUGUUAACAAAAAAUAAGAAAUAUGAAUGGCCAAUAACAUUUUUAUACCUCAGUAGUAUUAGAGAAAUUACAGUAGUAUUUCACUUUUCACCCACAAACUGGUUCUCAUGAGCAGAAAUAGAUGUCUGUAUACCACCAGUAGUUUACAUGGGUAACACCUUCCUAGGGGAUAUUUGGCAAAAUGUUUUAAGAGCUUUCACAAGUGGCAUACGUUUCAACUUUGUCAUUUCGCUUUUAGGAUUUUGUCAAAGCAAAUAAUCAUGCAGUAAGCAAAUAUAUUUGCAUAAAGAAUUAAAGGUGCAGCAUUUUAUUUAACUGAGAGAAAAUGAAAACAACUUACUGUCCUGUAGGGUAAACACAACUGAUAGCAAUAACUUAAGCAUACUCUUAGAAUGACCCUUAUGGCAGAUGCACCGAGAUGUGUGUUCUGAGCUAGGGAAUCUGGGAGCGGCUAACACAGAGAUUGGUUUCUUAUCUGUAAUAAACAUCUGAGCCCCUGUCCCAUCCUGUGGAACAUGGCCGAACAAGAGAUUGAGGCCCUGAGUUUUGGGUUCAUGAAGGUUGGCAGGUGGAGUUCACUAAGAGGAGGAUGUUAAGUGAAAAUGCUAUAUAAACUGCACGCUGUUUGGAAGCAGUUGCAGUUUUCCUCCCCACCCUGCUGCCACUGGGUUAUGUGGUUAUGUUGUCCAGGAUAAUUCUGUAAUUAAGGCAGUCCUAUUAUCCAGCCUGCCUCCAUUGGACUCUCUCCCCUGUAUGUAUGCUCCUAAUAAAAUCCCAUGCCUCA
rnacentral:lncRNA from 1 species